rnacentral:lncRNA from 1 species
AGUUCAUACCCCUUAUUUUCGGUUUUUACUAUGUUUUGGGAGAGAAUACAAGUUGUGUUGUGUAGAUCUAUGUGUAUAUGCAUGAUUUUGUGUGUUUUUCAUGAUAUAAGUGUGAUUAUGUGUUAUGAACUUCAUGAACUCGAAAAUAUACAUAAAUAUGAUGAAAUUGUGGACAUAACACUUGAUACCAUAUAUUAUGCAAAGAAAAAGAUAAAAACAUUACAAGAUUGUUUAAAACUAAGAAAAUUACAUAAGGGGGCCAAAAAUGAUAAAAUAAUCAAAAAGUGAAGUUAGUAUGCAUAACUUACGGUUUUGAAAGGAUUGAUUUGAAUAAAUAUGGAUACUUAUACUAUUUAUGAUUUUGUAAGGGUUAAAAGUGUAAACUUUCACAAAUGCGCCUCAUUUUGGGCUUUCACGGUUUUGGGCUAAAUUUGUAAAUUUUUGGGCUUUUGUGGACUGAAGUGCCAUUUUAAACAAAGUUGAGCCAAAAACGUAAAUUUUCGGUUAAAAAAAGCUGAAAAUGUAAAUUUAGUAAAUCUUGGCCCAUAAAGAUAAAUUUAUUCAUAAUUGGGCCUAGAAUGUCAAUUUUCAUAAAAUUGAUUCCAAAAGUGUUAUUUCAGACAAAAGUGGGGUUAAAAAUGUUAUUUCAUGCGAAUCAAGCCCUUAAAUGUAAACUUUUGGUUUUAAAGGACCUAAAGUGUGAUUUUUACUAAAAAUGUGCCUUAAUUGUCAAUUUUCGGUUUUAAGGACCAAAAAUGUCUUUUUAUAAAAAGUGGGCCUUUUAUGUCAUUUUGGUAAAGAACUAGGCUUAACAACCAACGUAACGACAACCAGAUCAAUUACGUCAUUUACACUUCUUAUUGGGCCUGGAAUAUAAUUUACGUGUUUAGUGGGCCUUAGUUGUCCCUUACAUGUUUAUUGAGCCUGAAAUAUACCAUACAUGUUUAUUGGGCCUUCGUGGUCCAUCAACAUACUUGUUGACUUCUCACAUUCACAUACAUACUCGUUGGUCUUUGAAAACUAAAUAUAUACACGGAAACAAUACACACUAUGCCAUUUCAUAUUCGCGUAAAUUUAGUUAAGGAUCUUUUGAGACACUUCGUUUGGCACCUAUUGAGUGUACAACCGUAGCCUGUAGUUAUAAGCAAAGUCUCCUGGAAGGAGAGCAGGAGUUUGUAUAUAGAUCUAUACGGGGGUGACACCCCACACCUGAGCUGUUCGCUAUAGUUAGACUAGGCCAGUCUAGGGUGACAAACCAUACCUUAAACACGUCGGCGUCCGAAAAACGUCAUGACAAGCGGAUUAGUCAUUAUCAAGUAUGGUUAUAACGACUCACUUACAGGAAUUAACACCAUUAUAAAAUUUAUGGAAUACAACAUCUGUUGAUAACACGGUAACAUACACGCACUAGUACUCAGUCUUAGGAUUUUGAGAUUACAACGUUUUAUAAACAGACAACAUCGGGUUGUCUGGGAUCAUUCACUUCAUACACUCACAAACAUUAACACACAUGCAUUAAUACAAGAUCAGACACAAACGUUUCAAACCGUUUUUCAGAAAAUAUUGGAUUUUUUGAUGUUUACAAAGUAAAACAAAACAUUUUACUCAAACCUGCUUAUGAACUCACUAACAUUAUAUAUGUUGACCUUUUCAAAUUAACCGGUAUUCUCAGAAAAUUGUUCAGCAAGUUGGUCAGCAACAAUACCUGGAUAUUUUGUUGUGUCUUGUAAUCACCAUAUUUUGGAUAUUUUGGCAUGUAAUAUUGAAAUACAAUCCUUGAUGUAAGCAAUGACAGGUGUAAUAUUGCAUGUUUGAUGAUGAUGAUGUUUUGUUUCAAUUAUACAUACUGUGAUGACACCACAAAAAUGAAGUCACCUAACCCCCCGGACGUUUUCACUUUCUGGUUCGGGUGUGUGAAAGAUUGGUAUCAGAGCAUUGUUUAUAGUGAACUGACAUAUCUAAUCAUAUAAGAUAUGCAACUAUAAAUACAAUGGGACUAAACUACUCUUAACAAGAUAAUUAAAAUAUAUACGUAGGUGUGCAUUAAUACAAUAAUACUAAAAGUCUCUAGAGGAAAUUGAACACCGUGGUUAAACCGAGACAUUUAUGUUGUCAUAUUGGGGAUAAAUAGAGCCUGAUCAACUAUAUUUAUUCAAAAUACGACCAACAUGUGUUUGAGAGUGAUCAUGCUGGGAAAUGAAUCUAGAAACUUAUCAACGUUGUAUCCAAAAAGCUUUUAAGGAACUUAAACAUAAACAAUUAAAAAUACUAUAGGAGUAUUUGGAAUGCUAUCUACAUACACUCUCGUUACAUACUUCUCACCCCUCAUGUAGACCCUAUGGUCGAAUUUCAUCAUCCAGGAGACCUUUAUUUCCCCAACCAGGGGAAUGGAGAAUGGUUAUAGCCGGAACCGGAGGAAGAGCCAGAGGAAGAACCAAAAGAAGAACCCGAAGAAGACCCUGAAGAAGGACCGAUAGGACCGGUAGCGGACUCAGAUGUGGAGGAGGCUGAUGGUAGCGAUGCAGAUGAAUCGGACGCAGAGUCCGAAGUCAUUAAUCCUCCAUACAUGGCCAGGGUUCCCCCGUACAGGAUGGGUCCCAAUGGUCCUACGCCCCCAUGGGUACACGAGAUCUGGAUAAGGAGUCGCCAACAGGGGGUGCGCCCCCCAUUCGGUAUGAACCAGGACUAUUACGAACUAAGUCACGGUGGACCUGCAGAUCGAGCCCUGCCAGUAAUGGUUAGGAGGACGCGUGACAUCGAUGAGCAGGCAUAGGCAACCGCCGGUCAAAUGGUUGCAAUGAGAGCUGCGGUUGAGCGUGCGGAAAGGAUGAAUCAUGAGAUGGUCAAGCACUACCAGGCGCGAUAGGCAGCAUUGGAGGCCCGACUUCGGGCCACCGAGCAUCACCUGGCCAGACUCUAGGGUGUAUCUACCUUGUCGGCAGCACCACCUGACCCUUCUCGCCAUGACUAGGAUCAGUUUCAUCCAUUACCACUACUGUUAUGAUGUCCUUAUUGUACUACCGACUUCAUGAUUAAGUUAUUACACUACUCAUGGAGUCAUUACGCUGUCGGAUUUUAUUUCCUUCAUGUAUUGUAUGCCUUAUAAAGGCAAAUUUUCAUGUAUCAGAAUGAUUAUUACUAAUGAAAGCAGUUAUAUAUUUUAUCGUGAUGUUGUUAUCUGAUAUGUGUUGUAUUAUUUUUAAUUUAUGUUGAUUGUAUGCAUUCAUUUACACACACAACCGAAUCACCAAAACUGGUCUAUAUACAAGGAAUCUUGAAACCAAAAUGCACCGAAUACUCACCAUCUUUCCGUUCCAUGAUAGAAGAUACCUUAAAGACCGAUAUGCAAAAACCGCAACACACCACCACCACCUCCGCCUCCAUCAUAAGUUGACUCAGAUGCAUUUCAAGCAGCAGUUUCAGCUGCUGUUAAAGCAACACUGGCUCACAUUCACAAUGGGAAUAAUGGUGGAGGUAACGAGCAAGGAGCUGGAAGUUCAAACUAGGGAAUGAACCAAGGACCUACAAAGGUCUGUACCAACAUAGAAUUAACGAAUAGAAAGCCUUGAACCUUCAAUGGAAUGGGAGGUGUGAUAACUCUAAAGCAAUGGAUGGAAAAGGUUGAAUUGGUAUUUGAGAUUUGCGGAUGCCCUAAAGAGUGCAAGGUGAAGUUUGCAGCUUGCACAUUUGUCGAUGAGGCGUUUUCCUGGUGGAAUGGUCAUGUGGAGGCCAUGACACUCCUAGUUGUGAAUGUUAUUCCAUGGGAGGAGCUUAAGGAAAUGUUAAUGGUGGAGUACUAUCCAAGAGGGGAGAUCUAGAAAAUGGAGCAGGAACUUUGGAAUCUCACAGUUCAGAACUCUGACAUCGAUGCUUACAUCUCGAGGUUUAGUGAACUGUCACUCCUAUGUCUAGGCAUGAUCACUUCUGAAGGAAAGAAGAUUGACAUAUUCAUUUGGGGAUUAGCCUCUCCAAUCCAAGGAAAUGUAAUAGCAACAAACCCAGAGACGUAUAACAGUGCUAAAAGAUUAGCCAAGAAGCUCUACGACCAUGGUAACAAGAAGGGUGUCAAAACUGCUGAGACCGAGAUCAAAAAGGAAGGUGAUAACAAGAAAAGCAAGGACAACAAACGAAAAGGGAGAAAAAAACAAGAGUCAUCAAAAAAGCAACAAAUUGUAGCAGUCAAUGCUGCAACAGCUCAGGUUGCCUCAACACCACAUACUCUAGUCUCAACUACACAAACCACUACCAGGCAAUACUCGGGAACCUUACCCAAGUGUAACAAAUGCAGCUUCCACCAUCAUGGGGAAUGCAGAGAUAUCCACUACACUAAUUGCAACCGUAAGGGCCAUACUGCUCGAUACUUCAGAUCUAACCCCAACAGAACCAACAGCCAAACAACAACAACAACAACAACAACAACAACAACAACAACCGUAACAACAAUAACAACAAAAAUAACGUUAGGGAUAGUCAUACUUGUUAUGGAUAUGGAGGAACUGGUUAUUUCAAAAGAAAUUGCCUCAAAGCCAACAACCAAGGAGUAGGAGGAUCUGGGAGGGUCCUGACUUUGGGUCAAGGUGAGGUAGUUCAAGACCCGACGGUUGUUACUGGUACGUUCCCACUUAAAAACACUUACACAUGCAUUUUAUUCGAUAGUGGAGCUGAGCGGAGCUUCGUUAGUAACAAAUUCAAACACUUACUAAAUCAACAACCCCAGAAGCUAAACGAAGCCUUCACGGUGGAGAUGGCUAAUGGGAAAACUGAAACAACCAAAGAUGUUUAUGUAGGGUGCACAUUAACACUAAAAAACCAUUAAUUUCAAAUAGAUUUGAUACCAGUAAAUAUUAGGAGUUUUGAUAUGAUAAUCGGCAUGGAAUGGUUAAGCCCUCGCCGUGUUCAUAUUAUGUGCCACGAGAAGGUCGUUCGCCUUCACCUCCCCAAUCACGAAACCCUAAUAAUCUAUGGUGAUAAACUUGACACCAAUCUUCGUCUUAUCUCGUGCAUCUAGGCACAGAAGUGCAUGCACAAGAAAAAUUAUGCCUUCCUCGCUUAUGUUGUGGAUAAAGCCAAAGAAGAAGUAAACAUUAAAGGCAUCCCAGUGGCAUGCAACUUCCCAAAUGUAUUUCCUGAAGACCUUCCAAGAAUACCCCCAAAAAUACAUGGUGAAUUUCGAACCGACCUAAUACCGGGAGCCACAUCAAUUGCUAAAUCACACUACAGGUUAGCUCCCGCCGAAAUGCAGGAGUUAUCCAGUCAAUUAAGAGAUCUUCUGAACAAAGAAUUCAUCAGGCCAAGCUUCUCACCCUGAGGAGCUCCGGUCUUGUUUGUCAAGAAGAAAGACGGAUCCUUCAGAAUGUGCAUCGACUAUCGGGAGUGAAACAAAUUCACUAUAAAAAAUCGAUAUCUACUCCCUCGGAUUGACGAUCUAUUUGACCAACUUCAAGGAGCUUGUUACUUCUCCAAAAUAGAUCUAAGAUCCAGUUAUCAUCAGCUCUGAGUCCGACAAGAGGACAUUCCAAAAACUGCUUUUCGAACCUGAUACAGCCAUUACGAAUUCGUUAUGAUUCCCUUCGGUCUAAAAAAUGCCCCCGCAACAUUUAUGGACCUCGUGAAUCGAGUCUAUCGUCCAUUCCUCGAUAAUUUCGUUAUCAUCUUCAUUGAUGAUAUUCUCACAUACUCCCGAAGUAAGGAGGAGCACGGUCAACAUCUCCGUCAAAUCUUGGAAACUUUAUGAGCUGAAAGGCUAUAUGCGAAACUCUCCAAAUGCAAGUUCAGGAUUCGUUGUGUAAAAUUCUUGGGUUAUGUAGUCAGUGAGGAAGGAAUUCAUGUGGAUGCUUCCAAGAUCAAGGCCAUUGAAGGCUGGGCGAUCCCGAAGACGCCAAUAGAAAUACGACAAUUCUUGGGUCUCGUAGGCUACUACCGAAGGUUUAUUCAGAACUUCUCCAAGAUGGCCAAGCCCCUUACCACUCUGACACAAAAAGGCGUACCCUUCAACUGGAUGGACAAGCAAGAAGCUUCCUUCCAAACCUUGAAGCGAGCCCUCUAUAGUGCUCCAGUACUAUCCUUACCAGAGGGAACUGAAGACUUCGUAGUAUAUUGCGAUGCUUCGAACCAAGCGUUAGGCUGUGUCCUCAUGCAGCGUGGAAAGGUGAUAGCUUACGUGUACAGGCAAUUGAAGACACAUGAAGUGAAUUACACCACCCAUGAUCUCAAGUUGGGAGCUGUGGUCUUCGCCCUAAAAAAUUGGAGGCACUACCUAUAUGGUACGAAGUGCACCAUCUUCACGGAUCACAAAAGCCUCCAGCACAUUCUAAACCAAAAGGAGCUGAACAUGAGGUAGUCACAUGAAGUGAAUUAAACCACCCAUGAUCUUGAGCUGGGAGCUGCGGUCUUCGCGAUAAAAAAUUGGAGGCACUACCUAUAUGGUACAAAGUGCACCAUCUUCACGGAUCACAAAAGCCUCCAACACAUUCUAAACCAAAAGGAGUUGAACAUGAGGCAGCGAAGGUGGCUUGAGCUACUAAACGAUUAUGAAUGCGAGAUCAAGUACCUCGCACGCAAGGCUAACGUGGUAGUCGAUGCCCUGAGCAGGAAAGGAUACUCAAGUCGCCGGGUGAAGACAUUAUCGAUAACCAUCCACUCCCACCUAACCUCACAUAUCAAGGGAUCCCAAUAAGAGGAAUUGAAGUCGAAGAAUGCCACAAAUGAAAAGCUGUGUGGAAUGGAUAAAAACCUUGAAGCCAAAGAUGACGGAGCUUACUACUUGAUGAAUAGAAUCUGGGUCCCAAAAUUUGGGGGAUUUAGAGAGAUAGUCAUGAACGAGGCUCAUAAAACACGAUAUUUCGUCCAUCCAGGUUCAGAUAAAAUGUACCUGGACAUCAAACAACAUUAUUGGUGGCCAAAUAUGAAGGCAGAGAUCGCCACUUACGUGGACGAGUGUCUCACUUGUGCCAAAGUGAAAGUGGAGUAUCAGAAGCCCUCGGGGUUAUUACAACAUCCAGUGAUACCCGAGUGGAAAUGGGAAAUGAUCACCAUGGAUUUCAUAACCAAAUUACCUAAGACUAUAGGCAGAUUGGAUGCUAUAUGGGUGAUUGUCGAUAGGUUAACCAAAUCUGCCCAUUUCCUGCCAAUAAAGGAAUCGUAUACGAUGGAAAAAUUAACACGAAUCUAUAUAAAAGAGAUUGUGAGACUUCAUGGGGGUACGAGUAUCUAUUAUCUCGGAUCAGGAUAAUAGAUUUACUACACAAUUCUGGCAGUCGCUCCAGAAGCCAAUGGGAACAAAAGUAGAUAUCAACACUGCUUACCACCCACAAACCGACGACCAAAGUGAACAAACCAUUCAAACACUUGAAGAUAUGCUCCGAGCCUGUGUGAUCGAUUUUGGAAAAUCAUGGGAUACCCAUUUGUCCUUAAUUGAGUUCUCAUACAACAACAACUAUCACACGAGCAUAAAGGUUGCUCCUUUGAGGCUUUGUAUGGUCGCAAAUGCAGAUCGCUUCUCUGUUGGGCUGAGGUGGGUGACACCCAGCUGGUAAAAGGACAAACACCAAUUGGCACUCAUAUAGAACCCGACAUCAUUCAGGAAACGACAGAGAAAAUAAUCCAAAUCAAUACACGACUUUAAGCAUCGUGUGACUGACAAAAGAGCUAUGCUCAUAAACGAUGAAAGCCUCUGGAAUUCCAAGUCGGAGAUCGGGUUCUAUUGAAGGUCUCUCCUUGGAAAGGGAUGAUCUUUUUCGGGAAGCGGGGAAAACUAAAUCAACGAUACAUCGGUCCAUUCGAGAUUCUUGCCCGGAUUAGUCUGGUAGCUUAUAGGCUGCAGCUACCUGCGGAGCUCAGCAACGUACACCCUAUGUUCCACGUCUUGAAUCUGAAAAAGUGCUUAGCAGAUGAAACACUUGUUGUUCCUCUAGAAGAGAUCGAAGUAAACGAGAAUAUCCUGUUUGUCGAAGAGCCAGUCGAAAUAAUGGACAGGGAGAUGAAGCGUAUAAAACAGAGUCACAUUCCAAUUGUGAAGGUUCGAUGGAAUGCUAAGCAUGGACUAGAAUUCACAUGGGAACGUGAGGACCAGAUGAAGCUAACGUACCCUCACCUAUUCUCUCAUUCAUAGUUUUGUUUUUCAAAAGAACUUCGGGAUGAAAUUCCGUCUAACGGGGGGAUGAUGUCACAACUAGCAUUUUUUACUAGGAAAUUAUGUCGUCAUAUACUCAACUUUUGUGUAACUUGUAAUCUAAGAUGAUGUCAUGUACUAUGCUCAUUCAAAAUCAAUCAACCAUUUGAAUCAAAAUUCACGUGUGAAGUUCAAAACCCAAUUCAAUAUAUCUCAUAUACUCAACUGUAGGUUCGAAACCCUAAAUUCCUACUUCAAAGCCUAAUGGACUAAAAACCAUUUAUUGGGCCUAAUGGGCCAAUAAACUCACAACUUGGUUAUUUGGACUCUAAUUGGACCCACUUUCAUACAACUAUAACCUUUUGGGCUAUGUUGUGUCUAAAAUAUCUCACUUCACUUUUAUGGGCCUUAUUGGACCUCAAAUGACCCACUUCAUUCUCAUGUGCCUUUAUGGGCCGUGAACAACUCUCCUGAACAUCAUUGGGCCUUGUAAUUUCGAGAAUAUACAACAUUAGCCCCACAUACUUUUUAUUUCUUUCCCUCCCCUCUCCUUCUCGGUUUUGUAAAGAUAAAUAAAUAAAUAAUCAGAGGAUAAUUAGGGUCUUUCCACCUAAUUAUUGUUUAAUGGAUAUCUAAGCACAUUACACACCAUACAACCAUGCAUUCCCAUAUCUCCAUGCAAUAUCAAAUCACUCUUUUCCUCUUAUUCUAGCCUUGGCCAAGAAUCCCAACACUGCCCACACCUAUCUCAUUUUUCAAACACAAAAAUCCUCUCUAACUCUCAAGAAACCUCUCCUUUCCUACAAGAUUUUCGUAUGUGUUGAUCCAAUAACAUUUCAUCCAAAAAUCCACUCAUCUUGGUAACCUACUUCCAUAAGAAAGGUUUAACUUCAUGUUUAUGUUAAACUUACUUUUCUUAACACAUCAUUUCAUGGUCCAUGUUCCUUAGAAACCUCAUAAGUUCGAGAUCUAGUCAAGAAAGCUUACUAGCACCGAGAUCUCUCUAUUUUCUUCACCACAACCAAAAUCAUCAAACCAAUGUGAGUUUAUAUCCCUUAUUUUUAGUUUUUACUAUGUUUUAGGGGUGAAUACAAGUUGUUUUGUGUAGAUCUAUGUGUAUAUGCAUGAUUUUGUGUGUUUUUCAUGAUAUAAGUGUGAUUAUGUGUUAUAAACUUCAUGAACUCGAAAAUAUACAUAAAUAUGAUGAAAUUUUGGACAUAACACUUGAUACCACAUAUUAUGCAAAAAAAAAGUUAAAAACAUUACAAGAUUGUUUAAAAGUAAGAAAAUUACAUAAGAGGGCCAAAAAUGAUAAAAUAAUCAAAAAGUGAAGUCAGUAUGCAUAACUCAUGGUUUUGAAAGGAUUGAUUUGAAUAAAUAUUAAUACUUAUAUUAUUUAUGAUUUUGUAAGGGCUAAAAGUGUAAACUUUCACAAAUGGGCCUCAUUUUGGGCUUUCACGGUUUUGGGCUAAAUUUGUGAAUUUUUGGGCUUUUGUGGACU